UCCAUUCCUUUUCUUCUAUCCCUGGGAGGGGGAAAACGGGUUUCGCCCGAAACCCACCGGUCCAAGUUUUAAGGAACCGACGCCCACCUUCCUGGCUGAACUCUUUCCUCUUUCCCCCGCCCCUAAGGAGGCUACCUCUGAAGCCGAGGCCAGGAACCUGGAUGGAGGUUAAGGAAACAUGAAAGUGAAAUGGGAGAGCCUCCUGUGAAGGAGCAGCAAGAUCUUCUUGGCCUCUAGCACAAACAUCCAAAAUUGAGUUCCAGUCAGUUUGUGUAGGAAGAAUGCGAUCUCUCAAAGGACGUGGGGCUUGUCCCCCAUCUGAGGUUGCUGAGGCAAACCGAGUUCACCACUGGAUCUACAAGCAGUGGCUAAUAUGAUGAGCUCCAUUUUACAGUUGAGGAAACUGAGGCUGUGCAAGAAGCGGCGCUUUCCUUGCUGCUGUCACUGAGGAAGAUGCUUGGUGGAGGAGGAUGUAGGUA